rnacentral:rRNA from 1 species
GACGGACGCUGGCGGCGCGCCUAACACAUGCAAGUCGAACGGAGUUACUCUGAAUGAAGUUUUCGGAUGGAUUUUGGAUUAACUUAGUGGCGAACGGGUGAGUAACGCGUGAGUAACCUGCCCUGGAGUGGGGGACAACAGUUGGAAACGACUGCUAAUACCGCAUAAGCCCACAGUGCCGCAUGGCACAGCGGGAAAAGGAUUUAUUCGCUUCAGGAUGGACUCGCGUCCAAUUAGCUAGUUGGUGAGGUAACGGCCCACCAAGGCGACGAUUGGUAGCCGGACUGAGAGGUUGAACGGCCACAUUGGGACUGAGACACGGCCCAGACUCCUACGGGAGGCAGCAGUGGGGGAUAUUGCACAAUGGGGGAAACCCUGAUGCAGCGACGCCGCGUGAAGGGAAGAAGUAUCUCGGGUAUGUAAACUUCUAUCAGCAGGGAAGAAAAUGACGGGUAACCUGACU